AAUGAACGCUGGCGGCAGGCUUAACACAUGCAAGUCGAACGCCCCGCAAGGGGAGUGGCAGACGGGUGAGUAACGCGUGGGAAUCUACCCAGAACUUCGGAACAACUGAGGGAAACUUCAGCUAAUACCGGAUACGCCCUACGGGGGAAAGAUUUAUCGGUUUUGGAUGAGCCCGCGUUGGAUUAGCUAGUUGGUGGGGUAAUGGCCUACCAAGGCGACGAUCCGCAGCUGGUCUGAGAGGAUGAUCAGCCACACUGGGACUGAGACACGGCCCAGACUCCUACGGGAGGCAGCAGUGGGGAAUAUUGGACAAUGGGCGAAAGCCUGAUCCUGCCAUGCCGCGUGAGUGAUGAAGGCCUUAGGGUUGUAAAGCUCUUUCAGUGGGGAAGAUAAUGACGGUACCCACAGAAGAAGCCCCGGCUAACUUCGUGCCAGCAGCCGCCGUAACAC
rnacentral:rRNA from 1 species